rnacentral:rRNA from 1 species
CAGCAGCCACGGUAAAACGAAGGGGGCUAGCGUUGUUCGGAAUUACUGGGCGUAAAGCGCACGUAGGCGGAUAUUUAAGUCAGGGGUGAAAUCCCGCAGCUCAACUGCGGAACUGCCUUUGAUACUGGGUAUCUUGAGUAUGGAAGAGGUUAGUGGAAUUGCGAGUGUAGAGGUGAAAUUCGUAGAUAUUCGCAGGAACACCAGUGGCGAAGGCGGCUAACUGGUCCAUAACUGACGCUGAGGUGCGAAAGCGUGGGGAGCAAACAGGAUUAGAUACCCCUGUAGUCCCUGUCUCUUAUAC